rnacentral:misc_RNA from 1 species
ACUGAUCAAUUACAUUCUCCUCUCAAGAACCAUAUUUAUCAAUAAAGACAACAGUAUAGCACAAGCAAUGCGUAUAUAUCCACCUUUUCCCAGACACGACAGUAAUGCCAAGAACAAACAGAUAAAAAUCUGAAUCAGAUCCAGGGCACGUACUCCUUCUACUUCUGCAUCCAGCAAUCAACCAAACAGACAACAUCCACCUUGCUGCCAGAACCAAAAAACUUGGGUUUGUGUUCAUAUUCAUCUUUAUACGAAGCAAAAACAGAAAUUUCAAUUGGGAAUACUAAUUGGAUGCCCAUCAUUUAAAAUAUUUUAUCUUCUUUGAGGAUUCUACAAUACUUUGACUUAUUUCUGGGUGCUUGAAUUUCAGUAGCUUUUCAAGCUGGAGGGCAGCCUCAGGGAAGGAAUCCUCCUUGACACAAAAUUCUGAACAAAGGCCAAAAAGGACUAUAUUGACAUCUUCCUCAAGCUCAAGGCUGAAGAGGUGGGAGAAGACCAUUUUCAUCCUUUCAAUAACCAUAUCUUUAAUAGAUGAGGACCUUGAGACCAAAUUAACCACAAAGAGACCUUGCUCAGAAAGAGAAUCUUUAACAGUCAGGAGGAAGGACUCUUCCACAAAAUCUGCAGCUGGGCAGGUCAUUCCAGAGCUUGAAUCUGAAGAAUCAACAUCAAUAAUAAGUACAUCAAGCCCAGGAUUAAUACUGCCCUCUGCAUAAGACAUAACGCAACUUCCAUCUGAAGAUGACUUUGAAUUGCCUGAAGCAUCCUCAUUUCUGUGUAGGACAGGCACUCUAUCACUUCGUGCAAAAUUAUUGACCUCUCUAACAAACUCAAUUCCAUCAGCAAUAUGCACCUUCAAAAAUUUAUCUUCAGCAAAACCAAAGUAGUCCCUUGCAAGAUUAAGUAUCACAGGAUCUAACUCCACCACCUCAAUGUGCAAAAAUGGCAUACAUCCAUGAAGAAACAUAGGAAGUAAACCAGCCCCAAGACCUACUACAACUGUGUUAACUGUAUUCCCAGCAGAUAACACACUUUCCAAAUAUGAAGAGAUCAACAUAAAGCCAGAAAUGAUCCCCGUAUGAUAAGAACUGGCUAAAUAGUCAUGAUAAACCUUCAGUCGGUUGCUUGGUUCAUCAUUUCGCUUCUGGUUCCCUCUUUUCUUGGAUUUGGAAGAUGAAGUUUUUUUCCUUUCUAUUUCAACAACUUUAUGGGAAGAUUCAUCACUUGUAAGAAGAGCUUCAGACUGCACCAAACCCUCUGUUCGUUGAAAGACAAGACGGCGGAAUAUCAAAUCUUUAGAUGGAAAAAGGCGACUGACAUCACCAUCAACAUUUUCAUAAACCACGUCUUCGACAAUUAUUGGGCCAGUUAAUGAAGAUGUAACCUUGUGCAGAAUAUGUCGCUGUUUGAUUCCAUCACUUGCCAUCAUGAAAGGUAUUUGUGAUCCAUUGUCAUCUUUUCCAGGUGCCAACUGUUUAACCAGCAGAGAUAAAUCCUUCUGAAUAUCAUCCAUGCUAGCAUUUGCGUGGCUGCUGUCAAGUAUAACCACAAUGAGACGAGCUGCCUUUGAGCUUUCAAUGACCAGCCAUUGUCCUUCUUCUGAAGAGAAC